rnacentral:rRNA from 1 species
CGUAGGGUGCAAGCGUAAAUCGGAAUACUGGGCGUAAAGCGUGGGCAGGCGGUUAUAUAAGACAGUGUGAAAUCCCCGGGCUCCAACCUCGGAACUGCAUCUGUGACUGUAUAGCUAGAGUACGGUAGAGGGGGAUGGAAUUCCGCGUGUAGCAGUGAAAUGCGUAGAUAUGCGGAGGAACACCGAUGGCGAAGGCAAUCCCCUGGACCUGUACUGACGCUCAUGCACGAAAGCGUGGGGAGCAAACAGGA